UACGGGGGGAGCAAGCGUUGUUCGGAUUUACUGGGCGUAAAGGGCGCGUAGGCGGUCAGCACAAGUCAGUUGUGAAAUCUCCGGGCUUAACUCGGAAAGGUCAACUGAUACUGUGCGACUAGAGUGCGGAAGGGGCAACUGGAAUUCUCGGUGUAGCGGUGAAAUGCGUAGAUAUCUGCAGGAACACCCGUGGCGAAGGCGGCUCUCUGGGACGGUACUGACGCUGAGACGCGAAAGCGUGGGGAGCGAACAGG
rnacentral:rRNA from 1 species